AACAAAAAAUCUAGCCAUUUACUGUAGAAAAAAUAAUAAUAAAAAAGGCACUAAUGAUUAUGGUUCCCACCCCUUCCCCCAAAAGGCCAAAUCCUAAUGAAAUAAUUCAAAGGUAGGCCCCACUUCCUAAUAGUGGAAUUAAACAACAACAAAAAGUAGUUCCGCCUGGAUACACAAUUAAAUUACAGUAAAUUCCUCUUUAAAUAGUAAAAUAUGGAAUGCUCUUCAGAAUUCAAAUGUCUAGGGUUAAGUAGUUUUAAAGGUAGGUUUGAAAUGGCUUGUGUGGAGAAGCAACCUUUAAGCCCUAAAACUAUUAUAAAUAUGCUAAUUAUCUGGGUGUCAGUUUAUCUCUCCAUAUUUCUUUCUAAAAUGAGGAAAGCAUUCAUAAAAAGCUACUUGGCACACUUUAUUUUUGGAAAGCAGAUGUUAAUUUUUUCACGUAUCAUUUUAUGACCAAGUACAUGUGUAACAUUGGAAGGCAUCCAGAACGCCUCUAUUAUUUGCUAAAUGACUGUUAGUUGAAACAUAUUAUUCUCGGCCUAACUACGAUAUAGGUUAUAUCAAUAAAGUAAACAUCUGUACCUGUGCUGUAGAAAAUGGGAUAUUUAUAUUGUUCUGUGCAAAACAAAGUCUCCCAAUCGGGCACUCGGGGAUAUUUACAUGGCGGGAGAUAAAGUUGAAAGCCUUUCCCGGCGUGCCAAAUGGGAUUCUCCCUGAGGCCUUCUGCGUGGUAAGAUAACAGGUACUGAGCGCUCCUGGCGGCUGGGGCCUUCUCCUGAAUUCCCAGGCACCACGGAAAUUUCAGCGGGGUUCCCAGCCGAGAAGUACGCUCCGGAAGCGUCCUCAUUUGCCCUGCGUCGCUCGAGGACGCCGGCGCCCAGGAUAAGCCAGUGGCGUGAUAAUUAAUGGAAUACAAUAUUUAUGGCCCAAUGUAUUGACUCCGAGGCAAGUACGCCGCGUAGACAGUCCGUGGGGGUCUGGCAAACAGGGGGCGAGUGAGCAAACAUAAUGACCGGAGUACUUAUGUCUAUCGGGUUUGCUCACUUAAAUCCGAGGUAUGUAACAUCAUGAUAAAUAUUAAUAUACACCUGCACAGCCCCUCAGCAACGCCAUCCUAAACUCUCCCUUCCUGAGUGCUGCCCUUUACAAAAAGGCCAGAGAGGAGGGCUUUAACAUAAAAUGCUGCAAAUAUGAAAAAUAGGUCACCAAUAAAAUUGGUCUCAGCAUGGAGUGUAAUUGCAACAAAGUGCCGCCGAGUAAAAUCGAGGAGUGAGCUGGCUGAGGCGGCACAGUCGCGAACCAUCUGGUGUGUAUUAAAAGCGGUGCUGUAAAUAUUGCUGAGAGCUAAUGCAUUAUCGGCUUCUAUAAGUGCACACGGCCUGUAAGCUUUCCAUAUGUUAGAACAUGUAGAUCGGAUGGGAGCAAGGAAAGGUGUUCUAUCAAUCACCGGGAUAGGGCAGGCACUGCUGACGUCACUUCAUAGCAGUAAAACCACACACAACAUAGCUAAUAAUUUUCCCUGUCACAUUACUUUUCUGGGGGAAGCAGCUCAAGUCUUCUCUUUCCUGAUGAUACCCCUUAUUUAAGCGGUUACUAUAAUUACAGUGGGUAAACCUGUCGGCCAUGACAAUCCAGGCUCAAUCAGCAAAUAAAUAAAAUUCUUACUUUCUUGGUUUUUGGCUGCGGGCUGCGUUCCCCUCCGGCGGUAGCCUCCUGUAAUUAUAGGAGCUAUAUUUCUUCCCUGGGAGACAUUCGAGGGGAUUUUUAGUUGGAAGUUUGUUUCUGCUGAGUUACUUUGGAUCCUGGACCAGGGACUCACAGUGGCCAGGACCAAGAGGCUCUGAGUGAAGUGCAGAUUGAGACAUAUCCAGUUUCUUCUAACAGGAUCAUUUCAUGUGGGAGGUUGGACACAAAGUUUGCACUGGCUCGUGACUAGCAUUCUAGUGAGAGACGUGCAUAUUUUAAAACAACAAAGCAGGCUGGAAAGAAGGGAAAGAAGUUACUAAGUGACAAACAUCUGUCAACAUGGGAUAACUUGUAUACUCCAGUGUGCAAAGCUAUCUGGCCAGCUCUAUGAAGUUCAAGGAACAGAAUGUGGGAUAGUCCAGUGGAUACAUAUUUG
rnacentral:lncRNA from 1 species